GAUGAACGCUGGCGGCGUGCUUAACACAUGCAAGUCGAACGGAAAGGCCCAAGCUUGCUUGGGUACUCGAGUGGCGAACGGGUGAGUAACACGUGGGUGAUCUGCCCUGCACUUCGGGAUAAGCCUGGGAAACUGGGUCUAAUACCGGAUAGGACCACAUUUUGGAUGGUGUGGUGGAAAGUUUUUCGGUGUGGGAUGAGCUCGCGGCCUAUCAGCUUGUUGGUGGGGUAAUGGCCUACCAAGGCGUCGACGGGUAGCCGGCCUGAGAGGGUGUACGGCCACAUUGGGACUGAGAUACGGCCCAGACUCCUACGGGAGGCAGCAGUGGGGAAUAUUGCACAAUGGGCGCAAGCCUGAUGCAGCGACGCCGCGUGGGGGAUGACGGCCUUCGGGUUGUAAACUCCUUUCGCCAGGGACGAAGCGUUUUUGUGACGGUACCUGGAGAAGAAGCACCGGCUAACUACGUG
rnacentral:rRNA from 1 species